CUCAAUCUCUCCAGUUUACAGCGUGAAUCCUUCAGUACGACACAUAAGUGAUUCAGUCCUGUGUUUUUUAUUUGAUUCACGCUCAGGUUCAGUUCUCUCAGGUGUGAUGGGUUUGAUUUCAGAGCUGAAGUCAGGAUGAGACACUGUUUCUCUGUAAUACUGCA